AAGUACAGAUCACUAAAUCUGCUAAAGAGCGAUGAUUUUAUUGAUCUUCUGCAGCCUUGUUGUGGGGUUGAUGGCGAUUGGCAAUGAUACUCCUGAUGAUUCGUACUUCGGGUGCCAUCCCAACCCUUGCGAAAACGGUGGCACGUGCAUAGAGGGUAAAGAGGCAAAUCCAAAAGUCUUUUACAAGUGCAUUUGUGCCGCAGGAUUUUCUGGAUACCGGUGCACCGUCGGAUAGAAGAAAUGAAGUUCUCCCCAAAAAAAAAUUAACACAGAAGAGCACAGAUGGAAGAACAAUUGGACAUGCAUUUUAAAAUAUAUGAAAUUGGUGUAUCAAUUCAAUUAUUAUAAUUGAAAAUA